AUCAUAAAAUUGACAAUUUUGAAAAAACCAGCUGUAACUAAAGGUACAAUUGGAAAGAAAGGAUUCAUUAUUUGGGCUAAAUCGUUGUGUAAUGUGUAUACUAACUGGGAAGUAAAGUCUAAUUAGAUACGAGGGCUAGAGUCUUAUUUUUCACAAAGUCAUACCGGUUUCCAGGUAGAUGAACUUAGCUAUUAUAUUGUAAACCAUGGUCUGGGAUUUGAAUUUAUGAUUUUGUGUGUGUGUGUGUGUAUACCUAGUAAUUCCAUUGGACAAAUCCAUGCUGUUUACUUGGCAACAUUUUUGGGAAAUGCUAUUGCCUUCUUCCCAGGUCUGAAGGAAAGGGACUGGCCCAAGGCAGGCCUAGAACUGGAUUUCUAGCCCCAGUGUCUUUAACCAAACAGGCACCAAAGUGGCUGUCAUGUGUGAACUAGGUCACUCUGUUGUUCAAUAAGCUGUCAUCUAACCCUAGUAUAGCAUGAAAUGCAGUCCAGUUCCUCUUAUAGUCUUAUUAAACAUAUAAAGUGCUGCAUAAUUCUAUUGAUACUCAGUGAAGUGUGUUUGCAAAUAAGUAGGGAUCAAUUGUAAUCCUAAAGUUAAAGCUGAAGAUAGAAAAACUAGCACACACAUACACAUAUAGACACACAACUUGGAUAGAUAUUUACAAAGCUACUGUUGAGGAACCCAGUACUGGGUUGCUCAUUAAGGCUGGAAAUGGAAAGACUCUGCUAUUUACAUGUCCAUGUAGUUUUCUUGGCAGCAAAAUGAGAGUAAUUUCCCUUUGUCUUUUCUCUAGGAUACUUUUUCACUUUCCUUUCAUUUUCUGUGAUUUUUCUGGUAGUCUCACCUCUAAGUACUAUUAGGUAUACUUAGCUUUUCAAGAUCAGCCAAGAUUACUGAGUGCUGCCCCUGGCUGUGGACUUCACCAAGGCUAGGCAUUGUUGAUUUUUCUACUAUUAUAGAGGGCAUAAAGAAUGGCUUUGAGGGACUGAAGGAACAUUCUGUUAUUAUACAGUAUUUUUACAGUAAAAAUAAUAUGGGCCUACAUGACUUUGAUUUCCUAAACUGGUCUACUUUGAAGGUUGGCAGCUAUGUAAAUCAAUCAUAGUCAACAUAUGUUGUUGCAUUGAAAUAGUGCCAUUUGGCCUACUCUAAUACCAUUUUGCGGCCUUCAUAAGAUAUUUCAGGGUGCUGUGAUUACUUGCUUCCAGCAUUUCUUUUCUACAUUUAUUUGUCUGGAAUAUUUGGGAGCUGGGAUGAAAUCGACAACAGUUCUGCCAUUUUCCAUUUCUAGGGCAAGUUAUUGGAAAUAUGGUAAAUUACGCUACAAGUCUUUCUGUAAGGCCUAUAAACCUGUCCAGCCAAUAGGUCAGGAGCUUACUGAUAGUUCACUACACAUUCCAAAUCCCUACUUUAAUCCCACCAUCAUUCAGCUGGACCAUUUUUAGCCCAUAAAUUUGUCUUCUGAAAUAGCCCGUGUAACAGAUUACUGGUGUGGAGUACCUCCACAAUUACACUUUGACAACUUGAAAAGUGCUAAAGCCACCAUUUGAGGCACUGACACAUAUAUUCCCAGCCGUCCCUGCCACAAUUUAAGGAAAACGAUUGGUGGUGGUUUACACUGGAUGAUAACAGUUGACACUGGAUUAGAAGGAAACAAAACUUCUGAGGUAGCAGAAGAAGUAAGGGGGAACAAGAUGGAAAGAAGUAUCUAGUCCCACAGAGAAAUCAUACCAUGGGCUGGACAUCCAAUAGUAGAAGUCUUAAAGGUCUUCUGCUAUCAAUAAUGGGCAUCAAAGGAGGCAUUCUCCAUGCCACUUCUCCCUACAGCUUCUUGUGUGGACAGACACUCCAGUUCUACUUUAUUUUCAGGGCAGAAUAGAUGUUGGUAAAGUGUGAUCAACAUUUCUUUAAGCUGACAUACCUUAAGCUAGUUCCUGUGCUGAAUAACUGCAUUUUAAUGCUGAGGUAUAGAACAGCCUGUGAUCUUGCUCUUGAAUGAACCUUUCUAUCUACUAUUUAUAUCAAUUCAAAAAUACACUGUUUUCAAUAGGUGGCUUUGUGAUGUCAUUGGGUUUGCAAUAUUGUUUUGGGACAGGGAAGCUGUAGCGCUCCAGAUGUUUUGGGAAUACUGUUCUUAACAGUAGCAAGCUAGCAUGGCGAACAGUGGGAAAUCCUGGAUAGCCACAAAUUAACACCACCAGAGUUAUAUAGCUACGUUUGCUGUGGAGAUAAACAUUAUCAACCAAGUGGUACAAUCCCUGCCCCCUUUAACUGUCUGGAGUGCAUAUGGCCAUUAUGUCUGCCAUUUUGAUAUCACUGAUUCCCAUGCGUCCAGGGGAAUGUAUGUGUUUCUCACAUACACAUGUGCUGUUCUUGAUGUAGCUAGUUGUUACCUGCUUCUUUCUAUAUUAUGAAGGGUUUUUUGGAUGGUUUUUAAAAAUCUUUCUUGAAGAAUCUAAGGAUAAAACUGUAAGUUAAUAGUUUACAGUUAUUUUUCAAUCCAACAAAUUAUUUUUAUUCAUAUUUAUUAUUCACUCAGAACUCAGUUGGCUUCCUACUGUGUCACAAAAAGGCCAGUCUAAAUGGUUUCUGCACAUAGGUAUUAUGUGAAAUGGCCUACUUACAUGCAUAUAUACAUAUACAUACAUAGCAAAAUAGCAUAAAAUGCAUUUUCAUAGAUAAACAUAAAUCAGCUUCUAUAACUUAGUGUUUUCCAACUGCAUUAAACAAUUCUCAGAAUCCCCAGCCACCACAUCUGGAGGACCAUAGUUGAGCGCUGGACCAGAAUAUUUUUCUGAAUUCAAACUGAUAAAAAAUGUGAUUUGGCCUUUUUUUUUUUAAACACACAAUGGAAUUUCAGUUAAAAUCCAUAUAAAAGGAGCGUGGUGUUUUGCAUGAAUUCCAUUAUGAUUGCACCCAACGGGAAAUGAAGUAUCAUAUCAGGAUCUUGUAAUUCAUUGUAAAGUAUUCCUCCUACAGUCUACACAUACUUACCUACACACAUACACACACCUCUUGUGAAAAACAAGUGGU